AGUAAAAGUCGUAACAAGGUUUCCGUAGGUGAACCUGCGGAAGGAUCAUUAUCGUUAAUAUCAAACAAAGAGUUUUUCCCUCUAGUUAGUGGAAAAAUUACACUGUGAACCUUACCAACCGUUAGGGGUAGAUUACUUUAAAUGGAAGCGUUAAAGGAUUCUUCUGUACGAGCGAGCGAGAGAGACUAGUCACACCGUCUACGAGCGUCGUCCCUCCUGCGACCUUAGUACUAGUCGUCGUGUGUGGUCGCCGCUUAGUCGGUCGCGCUCGUCUUCUCCUAUCGCUCGUGCAGUUAGAAGUGACUCUUCCGGCCCCGUUUGUGUUUGUUUUCUACACGUUCUGUACGACUGAAACUGUGUGUCUACGACGCACUGCGAGGAAAAAAAAAGACAACUUUUAACGGUGGAUCUCUUGGCUCGUGCAUCGAUGAAGAACGCAGCCAGGUGCGAUAAGUAGUGUGAAUUGCAGAAUUCAGUGAAUCAUCGAAUCUUUGAACGCAAAUGGCGCUCUUGGGUUCUCCCAGGAGCAUGUCUGUCUGAGUGUCGGUUUCCAAAUCAUCGUGCGCCGCCGCGUUCGUUCGCGGCGGGACUGUGCGGCGUUGAGGUGUCUCGGCACGUUUCGUUUGCCGCGUCCCUCGAAAUGCAGCGAGACUCGGUCGUGCAGAUUCUGCAGACGAUACCGGAGGCCAAAAAUCUUUUCGUCCUCUCGGUCGUUUUAGAGAAACUGUGACGGACGUAGUCGACAAGGCGAAAUUGAGUAG
rnacentral:rRNA from 1 species